rfam:Pantoea sp. PSNIH1, complete genome.
GCUGCCGCAAAAUCGGCAGCCGGGCGUGGAAACCCGAGCAAAACGAAGGCGACACGACACGCGCCAUGCGUGUUUUUU